rnacentral:rRNA from 1 species
UUGGAGGGCAAGUCUGGUGCCAGCAGCCGCGGUAAUUCCAGCUCCAAUAGCGUAUAUUAAAGUUGUUGCAGUUAAAAAGCUCGUAGUUGAAUUUCGGGAUCAAUGUUUCGGUCAUGCCGUUGGUAUGUACUGAUAUUAUUGGUUUCUCACCUUCUAAAGAACCGUAAUGCCAUUAAUUUGGUGUCACGGGGAAUUAGGACUGUUACCUUGAAAAAAUUAGAGUGUUUAAAGCAGGCUCACGCUUGAAUACAUUAGCAUGGAAUAAUGAAAUAGGACAUCCGAUUCUAUUUUGUUGGUUUCUAGGAUCGAUGUAAUGAUUAAUAGGGAUAGUUGGGGGCAUUAGUAUUCAAUUGUCAGAGGUGAAAUUCUUGGAUUUAUUGAAGACUAACUACUGCGAAAGCAUUUGCCAAGGAUGUUUUCAUUAAUCAAGAACGAAAGUUAGGGGAUCGAAGACGACCAGAUACCGUCGUAGUCUUAACCAUAAACUAUGCCGACUAGGGAUCGGAUGAUGUUAAUUUUUUAAUGACUCAUUCGGCGCCUUACGGGAAAC